GUCGCUAAGGCAGCUGGCAUUCUCUACUCCAAUGCAAAUACUAAACCGCACAUGUCCUAACUCCCUCUGGGGCGAGAUGCCUCUAAUACUACAUUUAUAUCUUACGAUACUUAACCUUUACAUUUAACUUGUUUGUCUACCAAAAGGGGAAAAAAAGGAAAAGAAAAAUGUGCCAUUCUUAUUGCCACUGCUUAGCAUGUGUGUCUCUAUUUACGCUGUUGUGGCGUUUUACGUUGUCUU